ensembl:lncRNA
CUGAUUUAUUCUCCAUUCCGUGGGUGGAGAUGUUUGGUGGGUGGAGAAAAUACAGAAGUCUUCACAGUUAUGAGAAGAUUCACUAGUCUGCAAACUGACGUGAAGAAAAUCCAGUCAAGGCAAGUGAUUGAGUUUGGUGUCCUUUCUCUGACAGCAGACAGUGAGGUCUGACCAUCUAGACCUUUCUGCUACGAACACCUGCCGUCUCACUGCAGGACCAGAAGGAUUCAGUUGGAAUACAGAUCACUACCACUGCAAUGCCUCAAAGGGUCUUCCUGGGAUCCUCUCCAGACUGGCAGGAGUCCCCCCUAAACCCAGUUUCCAGUCUUCCAGCUCCACAUGGAUUUGCUGUGUGGCACAAAGUAUCUCACAAAUCAGGAAAUGCCUACCUUUUGGAUACUAAAUCCCACUCCUACUGUGCACGGUUAUCAUUUAGGAUAAGAAAACAAGGCCUGUUCUAGACAAGGAGAGACAAAAUUUGAUUUAGAGGUGACAGAAAGCAAUAUUUAACUGCAACUGCACAAAUCUGUUGUGGCCAGUUCCCAUAUUUACCAUGCUUCUACAAAACCAUUUGUCUCUCUAUAGACCCAGAUGGCCAGGGGUUCCGUUUGUCCCAAGGCUUCUGGCAGAGCAAGGCACACAGAUUGUUCUUUCCUUAGCUCCUCUGGAAUUAAUGAACAUUGAUUCAUUUCCAUUUAUUAGGAGAUAAGAUUUAACUUCUUGGCUCAGUAAGGCUUGUUUCCUGUGACACCUGCAGCU